UACGUAGGGUGCAAGCGUUAAUCGGAAUUACUGGGCGUAAAGCGCGCGCAGGCGGUGAUGUAAGACAGAUGUGAAAUCCCCGGGCUCAACCUGGGAACUGCAUUUGUGACUGCAUCGCUGGAGUGCGGCAGAGGGGGAUGGAAUUCCGCGUGUAGCAGUGAAAUGCGUAGAUAUGCGGAGGAACACCGAUGGCGAAGGCAAUCCCCUGGGCCUGCACUGACGCUCAUGCACGAAAGCGUGGGGAGCAAACCGG
rnacentral:rRNA from 1 species